UGCCGUGACCACGAUUCAAACCUGGGUUUUUGCAGCCACAAUGCAAUGUCCUAACCACUAGACGAUCACGC